UAUGAACGCUGGCGGCGUGCCUAAUACAUGCAAGUCGAGCGAACAGACGAGGCGCUUGCUCCUCUGACGUUAGCGGCGGGCGGGUGAGAAACACGUGGAUAACCUACCUAUCAGACUGGGAUAAUUUCGGGAAACCGGAGCUAAUACCGGAUAACAUGCUGAACCGCAUGGUUCAAUAGUGAAAGACGGCCUUGCUGUCACUUAUAGAUGGAUCCGCGCCGCAUUAGCUAGUUGGUAAGGUAACGGCUUACCACGGCAACGAUGCGUAGCCGACCUGGUAGGGGGAUCGGCCACACUGGAGCGGAAACACGGACCAGAGGCCUGCGGGAGGGAGCAGUAGGGUAUCGGCCGCAGUGGGCGGGAGCCUGACGGAGCAACGCGGCGUGAGAGGAAGAGGUCUUCGGAUCGUAAAACUCGGUUAUGGGGUGAGAACAAAUUUGGAAGUAACUGUGCACGUAUUGACGGUACCGAAUCAGAAAGCCACGGCUAACUACGUG
rnacentral:rRNA from 1 species